rnacentral:lncRNA from 1 species
UUCGAUUCGUUAGGAUUUAGUCAGAUUUGUAAAUUAAUUCCAGUUAGAUAAAAAUUAAUAUUUAAAUUUGUUGAAAAUAAAUUAAGAUUUAAAUAUUAAUUGGAGUAUGAAUCUAAUUAGAUUAGGAUAAAUAUUUAAAUCUAUUAAAGAUAAAUAAUAUAUAUAAAUUUAAAUAUUUAUUGGAGUAGAAAUUCUAAAUAUAUUAGUAUUCGGGUACAUUUUUGAUGUAAGCUUUAUAAAUAGCUCCAUUAGUGAAGAGCUUAAGGAGUAGUACGGCUGAGAUUCUUGAGAAGGGUACGAUGAGCUGCCUUGAAGUCAUUGGUGGACCGUACCAAAGAGAAGUUUGGCCAUGAGUUGCAUGCACCUAGUGCACGGGUGCAUAUGAGAGAAAAAAAGUGAAGGGUUGUCUUCUUUGUGAGUUUAUAGAAGACGAGAGAAUGAUAGAAAAGAUUCAGAAAGAGGGCUUGAAUUAUAGCUACUCAGUUGCAGAAGAGAAGUCAUGUGUAAUCUUCUCUUAUUUAAUAAAUCUUAUUUUACCCACAUAUUUUCUAUUUGGUUGAUUUUUCUCUCUUUUAUGAUUAUAUCAGCUUUUGCUGAGGAGACAAAUUUAUAAUAAAAAAUCGAUUUAACGCUUUCAUUGCGGAAUUCUAACAAUCGGUACCGAAUCCACAUCAGUCAGUAUCGGAGCGGGUUGCGGAUUCUCAAAAUUCGGUACCAGGGCAAGUACCGAAUUCCCAACACGAUUG